CCUACGGGGCGCACCAGUGGGGAAUAUUGGACAAUGGGGGGAACCCUGAUCCAGCCAUGCCGCGUGUGUGAAGAAGGCCUUAUGGUUGUAAAGCACUUUAAGCGAGGAGGAGGCUACUAGUAUUAAUACUACUGGAUAGUGGACGUUACUCGCAGAAUAAGCACCGGCUAACUCUGUGCCAGCAGCCGCGGUAAUACAGAGGGAGCGAGCGUUAAUCGGAUUUACUGGGCGUAAAGCGUGCGUAGGCGGCCAUUUAAGUCAAAUGUGAAUCCCCGAGCUUAACUUGGGAAUUGCAUUCGAUACUGGAUGGCUAGAGUAUGGGAGAGGAUGGUAGAAUUCCAGGUGUAGCGGUGAAAUGCGUAGAGAUCUGGAGGAAUACCGAUGGCGAAGGCAGCCAUCUGGCCUAAUACUGACGCUGAGGUACGAAAGCAUGGGGAGCAAACAGGAUUAGAUACCCCAGUAGUCA
rnacentral:rRNA from 1 species